UAAGGAAUAUUGGACAAUGGGGGCAACUCUGAUCCAGCCAUGCCGCGUGAAGGAAUAAGGCCCUAUGGGUUGAAAACUUCUUUUAGACGGGACAAAACCCUUUUACGUGUAAAGGGUUGAUGGUACUGUAAGAAUAAGCAUGGGCUAGCUUCGUGCCAGCAGCCGCGGUAAUACGAAGGAUGCAAGCGUUGUCCGGAAUUAUUGGGUUUAAAGGUUGCGUAGGCGGACUAAUAAGUUAGUGGUGAAAGCCUGCAGCUUAACUGCAGAAUUGCCAUUGAUACUGUGAGUCUUGAGUACAGUUGAGGUAGGCGGAAUGUGUCAUGUAGCGGUGAAAUGCUUAGAUAUGACACAGAACACCGAUUGCGAAGGCAGCUUGCUAAGCUGUAACUGACGCUGAGGCACGAAAGCGUGGGGAGCAAACA
rnacentral:rRNA from 1 species